GACAGAGGGUGCAAACGUUGUUCGGAAUUACUGGGCGUAAAGCGCGUGUAGGCUGCUUCGAAAGUCGGAUGUGAAAGCCCUGGGCUCAACCUAGGAAGUGCAUUCGAAACUUCGAGCUGGAGCCUGGAGAGGAAGGCGGAAUUCUCGGUGUAGAGGUGAAAUUCGAUAGAUAUCGAGAGGAACACCGGUGGCGAAGGCGGCCUUCUGGACAG
rnacentral:rRNA from 1 species